UACGGAGGGGGCUAGCGUUGUUCGGAAUUACUGGGCGUAAAGCGUGUGUAGGCGGACUUCUAAGUACCUUGUGAAAUCCCACGGCUCACCCGUGGAACUGCUCGGUAUACUGGUCGUCUUGAGCCUUCUAGGGGCGAGUGGAACAAAUGGUGGAGCGGUGAAAUGCGUAGAUAUCAUUUGGAACGCCAAUGGUGAAAACAACUCGCUGGGGAAGUGCUGACGCUGAGACACGAAAGCCAGGGGAGCGAACGGG
rnacentral:rRNA from 1 species